rnacentral:rRNA from 1 species
CGGUUGACCUCGGAUCAGGCAGGGA